rnacentral:tRNA from 2 species
GCCGCCGGGCCGGGCUUGGACCGAACUCCUAAAGCGGGUGUCGCAGGUUCGAAUCCUGCCGGGGGCACCA